rnacentral:snRNA from 1 species
ACCCAAGGCGAGAUAGGCUCC